ACGGAGGGUGCGAGCGUUAAUCGUAAUCACUGGGCGUAAAGCGAACGUAGGCGGUGUCGUAAGUCGGAUGUGAAAGCCCUCGGAUCAACCGGGGAACUGCAUUCGAUACUACGAUGCUUGAGUGCCGGAGAGGGUGGCGGAAUUCCAGGUGUAGGAGUGGGAUCCGUAAAUAUCUGGAUGAACACCAGUAGCGAAGGCGGCCACCUAGCCUGCAACUGACGCUUAGGUGCGAAAGCGUGCGGAUCAAACAU
rnacentral:rRNA from 1 species